UUUCCCUCAGGAUAGCAGAGAUUCGUAAAGUAGUUUUAUGAGGUAAAGCGAAUGAUUAGAGGCUUGGGGGGCGAAACGCCUUUCACCUAUUCUCAAACUUUAAAUAUGUAAGAAGUCCUUGUUGCUUAAUUGAACUUGGACCUUCGAAUACAGAAUCUCUAGUGGGCCAUUUUUGGUAAGCAGAACUGGCGAUGCGGGAUGAACCG
rnacentral:ncRNA from 1 species